UGCGUCUGAUUAGCUGGUUGGAGGGGGUAACGGGCCCACCAAGGCGACGAUCAGUAGCCGGUCUGAGAGGAUGAACGGCCACACUGGAACUGAGACACGGUCCAGACUCCUACGGGAGGCAGCAUG
rnacentral:rRNA from 1 species